rnacentral:rRNA from 1 species
UACGUAGGGGGCUAGCGUUGUCCGGAAUCAUUGGGCGUAAAGAGCGCGUAGGCGGCCCGGUAAGUCCGCUGUAAAAGUCAAAGGCUCAACCUUUGAAAGUCAGUGGAUACUGCCGGGCUAGAGUCCGGAAGAGGCGAGUGGAACUCCUGGUGUAGCGGUGGAAUGCGCAGAUAUCAGGAAGAACACCCGUGGCGAAGGCGGCUCUCUGGGACGGUACUGACGCUGAGACGCGAAAGCGUGGGGAGCGAACAGG